rnacentral:lncRNA from 1 species
CGUGAUCGCCACGCAGAGGCACAAGGCCUAUCUAAGGAAGAAACCUGGAAGGGCCUAAAAGGCUUGGAUCAGACAAAACCACAAGUGGAUGCUACCUUCAGCAAAGAAGACAUAAGAUAUAAAAUAACUCUAUUUGGAAGGAGAGGAAGCUGAGUUCCUGCAGAGGGGUGAUCUACUCCCAACUCUCCCAGCCACACCGCGCCGAGAAAAGGGACGGGAUAACUUUCAGUUCCGGCUCAUUACAGACUUGAUGUUAUCUCCUUUGCGCUCCCGUCCUGACAGUCCAUCUCACUCGCCGUGUUCAGACUAAGAGGUUGUAAUCUUCCCGUUGGUGAUAGCUGAAUCCUUCAGCCGUGCACACAGCUACGUUUUCACUAAAAGAGGAUUGUGAUCUAUUAAUCAAUACAGAUGAAGUGGGCUAGCCGAGCCUUAACAAGGCCGUGGUUA